rnacentral:rRNA from 1 species
GAUGAACGCUGGCGGCGUGCCUAACACAUGCAAGUCGAACGGGACUAUUCCAGAAUGCGGCUUCGGCCAAAGGAAGGUUUAGUCUAGUGGCGGACGGGUGAGUAACGCGUGAGCAACCUGCCUUUCAGAGGGGGACAACAGCUGGAAACGGCUGCUAAUACCGCAUAUUGCGUUUGGAUCGCAUGGUCUGAACGUGAAAGAUUUAUCGCUGAAAGAUGGGCUCGCGUCUGAUUAGCUAGUUGGUGAGGUAAUGGCUCACCAAGGCUUCGAUCAGUAGCCGGACUGAGAGGUUGAACGGCCACAUUGGGACUGAGAUACGGCCCAGACUCCUACGGGAGGCAGCAGUGGGGAAUAUUGGGCAAUGGGCGCAAGCCUGACCCAGCAACGCCGCGUGGAGGAAGAAGGCUUUCGGGUUGUAAACUCCUUUGACCAGGGAAGAAACAAAUGACGGUACCUGGAAAACAAGCCACGGCUAACUACGUGCCAGCCGCCGCCGUAACAC